CCUACGGGGGGCAGCAGUCGAGAAUCAUUCACAAUGGGGGAAACCCUGAUGGUGCGACGCCGCGUGGGGGAAUGAAGGUCUUCGGAUUGUAAACCCCUGUCAUGUGGGAGCAAAUUAAAAAGAUAGUACCACAAGAGGAAGAGACGGCUAACUCUGUGCCAGCAGCCGCGGUAAUACAGAGGUCUCAAGCGUUGUUCGGAAUCACUGGGCGUAAAGCGUGCGUAGGCUGUUUCGUAAGUCGUGUGUGAAAGGCGCGGGCUCAACCCGCGGACGGCACAUGAUACUGCGAAACUAGAGUAAGGGAGAGGGAACCGGAAUUCGCGGUGUAGCAGUGAAAUGCGUAGAUAUCGAGAGGAACACUCGUGGCGAAGGCGGGUUCCUGGACAUUAACUGACGCUGAGGCACGAAGGCCAGGGGAGCGAAAGGGAUUAGAUACCCUUGUAGUC
rnacentral:rRNA from 1 species